ACAUAGAGAUUGCUGCCCUAUGGGAAUUUUCAGCAAGCCCCUACCUUAGGGAACUGAUUCUGUAGUGGGUUCAAUCAUGAUGUGAAUUUUCAUCCUGGAAUGGCAAGAGUGAAGUUCUCCUACGUUUCUGAGAGGUGUUAUCGCAAAGGCUGAGAUAGACUCAGAUACCCUAGGAAGUGAAGAGCUAGACAUGCACUGUGGCUAAAGAACAGUUUCUGGAUUAGAGAGCUUAUCAGCUUAAAAUACUCUUGUGAAGAGUGGACACAGAGAUAAUGCUAUUCUACCUAUGCAGCUAUGUCAGGACCUGAAGACUCGAAAUAUAACAUUUUCCUUUUUGAUGAUAUAUAUUUUGUGUCAGAACAUGAGUACUUUUUAUUAGAAGAAUUAAAUAACAUUUCGAAGAAGUAUGUGGAAUAACAAAUUAUUUCCUCAAGGGAUUCACCAGUAUAAAGAGCCCUGGAUGUCAAAGACAUGCAUAGUUGAAUAACUUGUAAUUUCAGUGGAAAUUAUUCCUUAAGCAUAACAUGGAGAGAUGUGGAUCUUGCCUUCCUAAUGUAUCUCUGAGCAGUGAAAUACUAGAAGUACAAAUUAGCAGGUAUGAGUUAAAAUAAUGAAAUUCUACUGCAAAUAUACACCCCCUACAGCUUGUUCUUUUAAGCAUUGUAGUCUAUGCCAUCUGGUAAUUGAUUUAAUAAUCCAUUUUCAUAAGAUCAAAAAAAAGCAUAAGGUGAGUACCUACUUUAGCAAACAUCAAACUUAUAGUUUGAGCUAGUGAUCUCUAUAGUACAGUACAACUAUUGUCCUAUAUAAAUCCAUUAAGACAUUGCAGUAGGCCAUUACUAUUACUUGUUGUCUCUGCCAAGCCAAUGUUGUCAUCUCAGUUUGAGUUUAUCCUAGAGUUAGGAAAUCAAUUAUAAUAUCUAUAACACCUUCAAAUGUAAUUGAAUGAAAUAUACUUAAUUUUCAUGUGUUGUGAAAGGUGCAGAAGUAUGCUGAGAUUCUAAUUUUCAGGGAUCUGUUGAUUUUUGUACAGAAUUUUGCCCUUUGAAUAUAUCUCAAAAGAUAUUUUCCAGGAAAAUUGGUCUUCUGCACAAUGGGAACACAGCUCAGUCUUCUGUAUCUCUCCAGCACUCAGUGAUGUGUACCUAAAUCUCUGUAAAACUCAUUUUGUACAGUCUUGAUAUAUUUGUAGUUCUCUAAAGCAGCUACUGACAGAUAACCGGUUAUUUCACUAUGAAGCCUAUAAUAACUGUUUAUUUCCCAGUGAAGGUUUGUCAAAACUGGCACCUAGAUACUGUGAUUGCUGCUGUACAAAUAGUUAUAACUGAUAAAGAAAACUAGCCUAAACAAUAUACUGCUGCUUCUGUAGAAGCAUGUGUGCAAAUACAUAAAUGGCUAAAAAUCCUGAUAGUUUCUCAUAUUUACAUGUGGGGCGUUUUUGUUUGCUUGUUUUUUAAUCCUCAGUAGCAUUAUUAUUAUAUUAUUAUUAUUAUAUACAUUGUCUUACAUUUCAGUCUGUCUUUGCUGGUCUAAUUCCACAUGACUCUUCUCUAAAAAGCAGCAUAAUUUGAAAGAUUUUUAAUGAUAAACACAAAUGAUGUUGUAUGCAUGUAUAAAUAAUUUUAAAAUUAUAUACUUUUCUGACUGAGAUGCAGAAUGCUACCGUGCAAAUCCAUACUCAUUAGGAAGGCUCUCACCUUCUUGUCUCUUGUCACUCUUCUCCAUUCUUUUCCCAAAAUUAAAUCAAGUCCAACACUGUAAUUUCUUUUUUUCUUCUCUCUGCUGUUAUGCCAAAACCUCAAUUUUUCAUAGAAGAUUCCCUCCUAAUCUCCAGCUAUAGGUUGCCAUUUAGGGUCUAGAAGCUAGUGUAAUCAAUAAAAACUAAUGUAACCACAAUUUUUGGAUGAGAAAUAAUGACAAAAGUUAAUCAAAUAACUUUAUUAUGCCAUUGUUGAAACAUUUUUGUUGUUUCUUAUGUUUUCUGAUUUUGUCAUGUCUGAAGUAGCUGUUUAAUUUGUGUGCAUUUGUCUUCUAAAAUGUCGCUAUGUAUUUUGAAUAGAUGGAUCUCUUACAGAAAAUAGAUCCAGACAUUAUUUUUUCAGCAAACAUGAAUUUAAUGUUUCUUGAUUGCCAAAUACAUUUUUCAUUUGAUAAUGUUAGUGUGGCUCCAAACAGAGGUUUAUACACUUGCCUUUCAGAAAGAAUACAACUAAAUUAAGAAACAUCUAAAAAUUUUCUUUCCUAUUGAGGAAGCACCUAGAACUAGGAAGUAUAAACUAUAGUGGAGAGUGUUGUGUAAACACAAUUGUUCCAAAAGGGCUUAAAACUAGGAUACUAGAUAGAUGGUAAUGGGAUAAAAGAUGAAACACAAGUGGCUUCCAAACUGGCUUCCAAACUCUGAACUAUGUGAACGUAGUAAUGUGAUUUAUUGCCUCACAGUGAUUUCCAUCUAGAAGUUGAAUGGAUAAGAAAUGGUCUGGUACAGAGCAAGUGCUGUGAAUUGAAAAACAUCAGCUAUAUGAAACAUUGGAGAGUGUUGAUAUUUUAUCUGCAUUAAUAUUUCCUUUACCUUUGCAUUCUCCACUACUUACUUCAGUUCUGUUGUACUGGUCAAAUUCAGAAGAUAUAAAUGUCCCCUCAAAAUCUACAUGUAGUUCUUCCUCUUUCCUGACUUUUUUUUUACCCCCAGCCCAUUAAUUACAGCCAUUUCAUAUUGUGUUAGUACGGAGAUUUAAUGUACAGUUAAUGCAUGACUUUCUCAUCAAGGACAGAGUGCGUGGAAGCUGCCUAUAUUACUUCCAAAACAAAGUUUGUUUUCCCCAGUUUGUUUUCCACUGUGCCUCACUGAUUAAUACUGCUGUAUUUCAAGAAACUAUUCUUCCAAGCCCCAGACGCAAGACACAAAUCCUACUUUUUAUCCUCUCUUCACACAGCAUUUUCAUCUCAAUAAUUGCUGAUAUGACCGUUAGCACUUUGUAUUUCAACAAAUAACAACACUGAUUAUAACCAUGAAUGUAUUAGUCUUAAUGUACUCUAAAUACCUGGUUAUAACUGCAUUACAAGAGUUGUGGAGCAAGUCUUAUAGCAAGGCACCAAAGCUAAUGACAACAGUUACAGGAAGGACUGAAGUUCACAGUGAAAUGUUGUUCAUAUCUCACUGUCUGGCUGGGUUGUAUAGGUUUUCUUCAAAUCUGUGUAAAAAUAGGGUGUCCAGAAACUGUUUGCAUAGGGCUCAUGCUGUCUUAUUUGCUUACUUUUAUGGACAUUAAUUUCUUACCCAUUAAGACAAAACCUGCCACUUUACCUGUUUCUAAAAUCAAGAAAUGUCUUUUGUAUUUUCCACAUAUGUGGCAAACAUCAGAUGCCCAAGACUCUGCUAAAAUUCAGAAAUUUACCUAAUUUGAAAGAUGGAAGGUCAAAAGCAAGACUCUUAACAGCUUAUCCUGGGAAAUAAAAAAUGAUUUUUUUUAUCGUUUGUGUUUUUAGUGCAAUAAAUAUGUCCUUGAUUUAAGUGGCCCUGAA